UAUCAAUAAGCGGAGGAAAAGAAACCAACAGGGAUUGCCCCAGUAACGGCGAGUGAAGCGGCAACAGCUCAAAUUUGAAAUCUGGCCCCUCCCACGGGGGGGCCCGAGUUGUAAUUUGCAGAGGAUGCUUCUGGCGAGGUGCCUUCCGAGUUCCCUGGAACGGGACGCCACAGAGGGUGAGAGCCCCGUCUGGUCGGACACCGAGCCUCUGUGAAGCUCCUUCGACGAGUCGAGUAGUUUGGGAAUGCUGCUCUAAAUGGGAGGUAUAUGUCUUCUAAAGCUAAAUACCGGCCAGAGACCGAUAGCGCACAAGUAGAGUGAUCGAAAGAUGAAAAGCACUUUGAAAAGAGGGUUAAACAGUACGUGAAAUUGUUGAAAGGGAAGCGCUCACGACCAGACCUGGUCCCGGCGAAUCACCCGGCGUUCUCGCCGGUGCACUUCGGCGGGCUUCCAGGCCAGCAUCAGUCCGCGCCGGGGGACAAAGGCGGCGGGAACGUGGCUCCCCAGGGAGUGUUAUAGCCCGCCGCGCAAUGCCCCGGGGGCGGACUGAGGACCGCGCGUCUACCGCAAGGAUGCUGGCGUAAUGGUCGUCAGCGACCCGUCUUGAAACACGGACCAAGGAGUCGUCCUCGUAUGCGAGUGUUGGGGCGUCAAACCCCCCGCGCGUAAUGAAAGUGAACGGCAGGUGAGAGCCCUCGCGGGCGCAUCAUCGACCGAUCCUGAUGUUCUCGGAUGGAUUUGAGUAGGAGCAUACGGGGCCGGACCCGAAAGAAGGUGAACUAUGCCUGUGUAGGGUGAAGCCAGAGGAAACUCUGGUGGAGGCUCGCAGCGGUUCUGACGUGCAAAUCGAUCGUCAAACAUGGGCAUGGGGGCGAAAGACUAAUCGAACCUUCUAGUAGCUGGUUUC
rnacentral:rRNA from 1 species